rnacentral:lncRNA from 1 species
UCUCAACAGGAAUGACCCCAAGUUUAUCAGAAGGCUCCUGUGGCUCCAGGGUCAACUCUGGGCAUAUCUGACUACAUCACUCCACCCCUACCAUGGUCUCUCCUCUGUACCCCAGCGUUCCAGGGUACUGUCUUCUGAGAGCGCACUUGUCUGCCAACCCCAGUAGCCAGGACUCAGCAUACCUGGCAAACACCUUCAAAACUAGCAAAUCAUGCUGGCUAUCUGCCCCAGGUAGGGCCUUAGCAACUGGCUUCAAGUUGAGAUAAAGUGACAGUGCUUUUCAGGGAUACAGUUUGAAGAUUUCCUGGGCUAUUGUUGCUUCUGGGGUGUUAGGAUUCUAAUAAUUACAACAGGACCCUGUGUAUGUGGUGGGGUUGGAGAGAGCAUCUCAGUACCUCUCCAAGUUCAUCCUCACUAUCUUGAACUGGGGUAUCUUACAUCUCUAUACCAGUGUUUUGCAACCCUGGCUGUACAAACACCAAUGCAGGGGUCUUACCCCUACAGAUUCUGAUUAAUUCAUCUGGUUUGGGGCCUGGGCAUUGGUAUUUGUAAAGUUCUCCAGGUGAUUCUCGUGUGUAGCCAGGGUUGAGAACCACUUUAAGGCCUUUCUGCCUCAGUCAGGGAGGCAAGAGGCUGCAGGUGAUUUUGAGGGAGAAGGGUCAAUAGAGUAAGGGAGGAAGAAACAGGAAACUAGCAGAGUCCCCGGGGGGAGAGAAUGUGUUAUCCUAAAGACCCUUGGUCACAGCCAUGCAGCUGGGCAAACAGAUAACGCCUGGUGGAACAACAGAAGCUGGACCAUGAGAAGGGCAGACAGCAGAAAAUGCCCAGAGAAGGGUUCAAUUUCUUCUUUGGAAGGUGAUGGUAAGGGUGUGGCUCCAGAUUAACUGGUUCUACAGCUCCAGGCAAGGGAGAUGGAAGGCUGAGGGGAGCAGGUCCAUCAGGGAGCAGUUGGGGGAGAACCUAGAGAGGCACUGUCUGUACACUCCAGGGCCAGUGCCCAAGGCCAGAUGCUCCUCAUCUAUUCUCUAAACCACCCCAGGAUCCUCUUGAAGCUUAAGCUAGUUUAGAUUGAGCUUCUGUCACUUUCAACUGAAGCUUGACUAGUAAAAACUCCUGAGGUUAAAGCCUCUAUUGGGUAAAAGAAUUAGAACCAGUGGGAUAGUCCCAGAAAAGAGCUGUGUGGGCUAGGGGCACUGUGAAGACCCAGGGGACAUUGGAACCUGGCCCUGUGCUGUCUUCCAGGAGGAGUGGUACACCCCAGAGAAAUGGCCAGGACAUCAUCAAGAAAGUGAACAGACAACACACACACAGAAUGAGAGAAAAUAUUUGCAAAUCAUUGGUAAAGGACUGGAAUUGGUAUGUCAAAUAUGUGAACAAGUCUUACAACUCAAUAAUAGAAUGACAACCCAACUUUAAAAUGGGCAAAGGAUGUGAAUAGAUAUUUCUCCAAAGAAGAUAUACAAAUGAUCAAUAAACAUGGGAAAAGACAGCCAACAUCAUUCAUUGUUAGGAAAAUGAAAAUCAAAACCACAAUGAGAUACCACUUUGUACCCACUAAUAUGGCUAUAAUAAAAAGGACAGAUAAUAAGCGUUGCUGAGGAUGUGGAGAAAUUGGAAACCUCAUCCACUGCUUGGGGAAAUGGAAAAUGGUGCACCCACUUUGGAAAGCAGCUGGCUGUUCUUCAAAACAUUAAACUGAGUUACCAUCCAACCCAGCAAUUCCACUGCUAGUUAUCUACCUGAGAGAAAUGAAAACAUGUCCUCAUAACAACUUUCACAGGAAUGUUCAUAGUAGCAUUAUGCAUAAUAGCAAAGAAGUGGAAACAACUCAUAUGUCCAUAAACUGCUGGAUAAACAAAAGGUGGUAUAUCCAUUCUGUGAAAUAUUAUUUGGUAAUAAAAAGAAAUGAAGUACUGAUGCAUGCAUGGAUGAACCUUGAAAAUAUUUUGCUAAGAAGCCAGUCACAAAAGACCACAUAUUGUAUGUUUCCAUUUAUAUGAAAUAAAACAGACACAUCCAUGGACAGAAAGUAGGUUAGUAGUUGCCUAGGGCUGAGGAGUGAAUGGAUUGUGGGGAGGUGUUGAGAGGUGAAAGCUAAGGGUGUAGGGUUUCUUUUCGUGGUAAUGACAGUGUUCUAAAAUUGAUUGUGGCCAUGGAUGCACAACUCUGUGACUAUACCAAAAACUUAACUCUUACAAUUAUAAAUAAAUUGUAUGGUAUGGGAAUUAUAUUUCAAUGAAAUUGUUAUUAAAAACAACUCUUUGCCCAGCGGACACCCAAACCUUUCCCCAGCGGACACCCAAACCUUUCCCCAAGAUGGCUGUAAAUUAUCUUGGGGUGGGAAUGGGGAGGUCCUCCUUUGGUCCUAGCUCUUGAUCCAAUAAUUCUGACGUCAUCUACAACACGUUUACCUAGAAAUGAAACUCAGCUCUUUGCUGAAGUUCUAUCCUCCCAAACCACCCUUCUUUCCCUUCCUAGGAAGCAUUCAUGAUUUCACUGUAGAUGGGGCAGGG